GUCCAAACUGACUGCUAGCUGUUGGACUCAAAUGCCAGGGCCAAGCCCAAUUCGUUCAGUUAUUAACAUGUGUGGAGUCAUUGUUUGAGGUUUAUCAGAAGUGUUCUGUUGUACAAAGUUGUGCAAAUGGACAGGAGUCACCAAUGUAAUGUACCUGCUUGUUCCAAUGGUUUCCAUGGCGAUUGCCCAUUUUAGAACUCUAAGCCACUUUUAGAACAACUUGUUAAGUGUCCUCCUAUGGGUGUUUUGCUACAAAAGUAUUAAGUAGUUCUAUUUCUAUUUUCUUUGGUAUAACUUUUUGUUUAGAAUAUCCGAUAUGGUAGAAUCGUUACAAUGGCGGCAGUUACAAUACAAGAUAACUAUUAGAUGUAAAAUCAUGGCUAACGUUGGAUGUUUUUGAACUGCAUUUUCUUUGUUUCACAACCAUCCUCACUGUGCAUUAUGGGAAAUAUUCUUCAACAACAUCUGGGGUGCUAAGAUUAUCCAUCAAUGCUAAAAAGCAUUGUUCUUAGCUGGCGGACAUUUGAAUGGGUUGUGACUUGUACUCUGUAGCUCGUAGCCUGCCUUAAAAUAUUAUAGGUUUAAUUAUAUUAAUUUGCAUAAUUGAGCCUACACUACUUAGUGACAUACAGCCCUCCAAUUUUGUUAUUGCCUUUGACUAGUGCAUUUACCCCACUAAAAACUACUGAUUGGUUUGCGUUGUGAAAUAGCAAACGGUAUGUAAUGAAAAUUACGUGACCACCUUUAUUCGGUAAUGUGUGCCGAUAUUUUAUUUAUGUAGAUUGGAUUUUUCCCAUGAAAAUCCUAUGAAAUUCUGCUAGAUUGUUCAUUCGCAUGUCUCAUUUUAGAAGAUAUAAAGUCUGAGUAAAUUGCUACUAUUAAAAAAAA